rnacentral:tRNA from 1 species
GGAUUGUGGCUCAGUGGUACAGUGCUUGCCUAGCAUGUGUGAGGCACUGGGUUUGAUCCCUAGCACCA